rnacentral:rRNA from 1 species
UAGUCCACGCCGUAAACGAUGGAUACUAGGCGUUUGGAGAGUUAACCCUCUGAGUGCUAAAGCUAACGCAUUAAGUAUCCCGCCUGGGGAGUACGGUCGCAAGGCUAAAACUCAAAGGAAUUGACGGGGGCCCGCACAAGCGGUGGAGUAUGUGGUUUAAUUCGAUGCAACGCGCAGAACCUUACCUGGCCUUAACAUCCCGGGACAAUCUCAGAGAUGAGACUUUCUCUUCGGAGACUCGGUGAUAGGUGCUGCAUGGCUGUCGUCAGCUCGUGUCGUAAGAUGUUGGGUUAAGUCCCGCAACGAGCGCAACCCUUAUCUUUAGUUACCAGCAUUAAGUUGGGGACUCUAGAGAGACUGCCGGUGUUAAACCGGAGGAAGGCGGGGAUGACGUCAAGUCCUCAUGGCCCUUACGGCCAGGGCUACACACGUACUACAAUGGCAGAAACAAACCGUUGCGAGAUCGCGAGAUGGAGCUAAUCGGUAAAACACUGUCUCAGUCCGGAUUAGAGUCUGCAA